CGCACCUUGCACCUUUUGGCAUUCCGAAAGGUACAUCUGUUUGAGUGUCAUGAAUCCCUCAACCUCUACAUUUCCUUGUGUGAUGUACGAGCGUUGGAUGUUGAGCGCUGCUGUGCUACGCCACAGCUCGCUUCAAAUGUAUCAGCAAUCUCGAUGGUGUUCGGAUUGACCCGACGUGAUAAGAUCUUCGUUGGGGAUGCUUUCAUUAGCAGCCGGUCUACCUUCAGAGUAGCUUCUAAAAUCGCUCGCACUUCGGUGUGAACAACCCCUUACAUUUAGACCUCAAAUCAGAUGGGACUACCCGCUGAACUUAA
rnacentral:misc_RNA from 1 species